rnacentral:rRNA from 1 species
GACGAACGCUGGCGGCGUGCUUAACACAUGCAAGUCGAGCGGUAAGGCCUCUUCGGGGGGCCACGAGCGGCGGACGGGGGCGUAACACGGGGGUGACCUUCCCUCAGCUCUGGGAUAAGCCUGGGAAACUGGGUCUAAUACCGGAAAUGACCUAUCCUCGCAUGGGGUUUGGUGGAAAGUUUUUUCGGCUGGGGAUGGGCCCGCGGCCUAUCAGCUUGUUGGUGGGGUGAUGGCCUACCGAGGCGACGACGGGUAGCCGGCCUGAGAGGGCGACCGGCCACCCUGGGACUGAGACACGGCCCAGGCUCCUACGGGAAGCAGCAGUGGGGUAUAUUGCGCAAUGGGCGGAAGCCUGACGCAGCGACGCCGCGUGGGGGAUGACGGCCUUCGGGUUGUAAACCUCUUUCGACCCCGACGAAUUUGGACGGUAGGGGUAGAAGAAGCACCGGCCAACUACGUG